rnacentral:rRNA from 1 species
GUGGCAGCCGCCGCGGUAAUGCUAGCGGUCCAAGUCGCAACCACAUUUAUUGGGUCUAAAACAUCCGUAGCUUGCUUGAUAAGUUUCUUGUGAAAUUCUAUGUCUCAAACAAAGAGCGUGCAAGAAAUACUAUCUAGCUAGAGAUCGGGAGACGUAAGGAGUACGUUCGAAGUAGUAGUAAAAUGCUUUAAUCUUAAGCGGACUAACAAUAGCGAAGGCACCUUACGAGAACGGUUCUGACAGUCAGGGAUGAAGGCUAGGGGCGCAAAACGGAUUAGAUACCCGUGUAGUCCUAGCAGUAAACACUGUACACUAAACAUUGGGACCUCUUCGAGAGGUUUCAGUGCUGCGAGGGAAGCCGAAGAGUGUACUACCGUGGGAAGUAUAGCCGCAAGGCCGAAACUCGAAAGGAAUUGACGG